rnacentral:rRNA from 1 species
CAGCUCAAAUUUGAAAUCUGGCGCACGCCCGAGUUGUAAUUUGUAGAGGAUGCUUCUGGGUAGCGACCGGUCUAAGUUCCUUGGAACAGGACGUCAUAGAGGGUGAGAAUCCCGUAUGUGACCGGCCCGCACCCUCCACGUAGCUCCUUCGACGAGUCGAGUUGUUUGGGAAUGCAGCUCUAAAUGGGAGGUAAAUUUCUUCUAAAGCUAAAUACCGGCCAGAGACCGAUAGCGCACAAGUAGAGUGAUCGAAAGAUGAAAAGUACUUUGGAAAGAGAGUUAAAAAGCACGUGAAAUUGUUGAAAGGGAAGCGCCUGCAACUAGACUUCGCGGUGGUGUUCCGCCGGUCUUUUGACCGGUCCAUUCUCCACCGCGAGGCCAUCAUCGUCUGGGCCCGCCGGAUAAGACCUUGGGAAUGUAGCUCACCUUCGGGGGAGUGUUAUAGCCCAGGGUGAUGCGGCGAGGCUCGGGCGAGGUCCGCGCCUCGGCAAGGAUGAUGGCGUAAUGGUUGUCGGCGGCCCGUCUUGAAACACGGACCAAGGAGUCUAACAUCUAUGCGAGUGUUCGGGCGUCAAACCCCUACGCGUAAUGAAAGUGAACGGAGGUGGGAACCGCAAGGUGCACCAUCGACCGAUCCUGAUGUCCUCGGAUGGAUUUGAGUAAGAGCAUAGCUGUUGGGACCCGAAAGAUGGUGAACUAUGCCUGAAUAGGGUGAAGCCAGAGGAAACUCUGGUGGAGGCUCGCAGCGGUUCUGACGUGCAAAUCGAUCGUCAAAUUUGGGUAUAGGGGCG